rnacentral:rRNA from 1 species
UACGUAGGGACCAAGCGUUGUUCGGAUUUACUGGGCGUAAAGGGCGCGUAGGCGGCAAUUCAAGUCAGUUGUGAAAUCUCCGAGCUUAACUCGGAACGGUCAACUGAUACUGUUUUGCUAGAGUGCAGAAAGGGCAACCGGAAUUCUUGGUGUAGCGGUGAAAUGCGUAGAUAUCUGGAGGAACACCGGUGGCGAAGGCGGCAUCCUGGACCAACACUGACGCUGAGGAGCGAAAGCCAGGGGAGCAAACAGG